GAUGAACGCUAGCGGCAGGCCUAAUACAUGCAAAUCGAACGGUGUCUUCGGACAUAGUGGCGCACGGGUGCGUAACACGUAUGCAACCUACCUUACAUUGGGGGAUAGCCUUUCGAAAGGGAGAUUAAUACCGCAUAAGACAGUAGCUGGGCAUCCAGCAGCUGUUAAAGAUUUAUCGAUGUAAGCUGGGCAUGCGUCCAAUUAGCUAGUUGGUGAGGUAACGGCUCACCAAGGCAAUGAUUGGUAGGGGAACUGAGAGGUCAAUCCCCCACACUGGCACUGAGAUACGGGCCAGACUCCUACGGGAGGCAGCAGUAGGGAAUGUUGGGCAAUGGACGCAAGUCUGACCCAGCCAUGCCGCGUGCAGGAUGAAGGCGUUAUGCGUUGUAAACUGCUUUUAUACAGGAAGAAACGACUCUUGCGAGAGGCAUUGACGGUACUGUAUGAAUAAGCACCGGCUAACUCCGUGCCAGCAGCCGCCGUAAAAC
rnacentral:rRNA from 1 species